AAAGGAAUAGACGGGGGCCCGCACAAGCGGAGGAACAUGUGGUUUAAUUCGAUGAUACGCGAGGAACCUUACCCGGGCUCAAACGACAGGGGAAUUAAGUGGAAACAUUUAAGCUAGCAAUAGUCGCUGUCGAGGUGCUGCAUGGUUGUCGUCAGCUCGUGCCGUGAGGUGUCGGCUUAAGUGCCAUAACGAGCGCAACCCCUAUUGAUAGUUGCCAGCAAGUAAAGUUGGGGACUCUAUCGAGACUGCCGGCGCAAGCUGUGAGGAAGGCGGGGAUGACGUCAAAUCAGCACGGCCCUUACGUCCGGGGCGACACACGUGUUACAAUGGCAGGUACAGCGGGAAGCCAGGUGGUGACACCGAGCAGAACUCGAAAACCUGUCUCAGUUCGGAUUGGAGUCUGCAACUCGACUCCAUGAAGCUGGAUUCGCUAGUAAUCGCGCAUCAGCCACGGCGCGGUGAAUACGUUCCCGGGCCUUGUACACACCGCCCGU
rnacentral:rRNA from 1 species